CUUGGUCCAUUAGAGGAAGUAAAAGUCGUAACAAGGUCUCCGUUGGUGAACCAGCGGAGGGAUCAUUACCGAGUUAUACAACUCAUCAACCCUGUGAACAUACCUAAAACGUUGCUUCGGCGGGAACAGACGGCCCCGUAACACGGGCCGCCCCCGCCAGAGGACCCCCUAACUCUGUUUCUAUUAUGUUUCUUCUGAGUAAAACAAGCAAAUAAAUUAAAACUUUCAACAACGGAUCUCUUGGCUCUGGCAUCGAUGAAGAACGCAGCGAAAUGCGAUAAGUAAUGUGAAUUGCAGAAUUCAGUGAAUCAUCGAAUCUUUGAACGCACAUUGCGCCCGCCAGUAUUCUGGCGGGCAUGCCUGUUCGAGCGUCAUUACAACCCUCAGGCCCCCGGGCCUGGCGUUGGGGAUCGGCGAGGCGCCCCCUGCGGGCACACGCCGUCCCCCAAAUACAGUGGCGGUCCCGCCGCAGCUUCCAUUGCGUAGUAGCUAACACCUCGCAACUGGAGAGCGGCGCGGCCACGCCGUAAAACACCCAACUUCUGAAUGUUGACCUCGAAUCAGGUAGGAAUACCCGCUGAACUUAAGCAUAUCAAU
rnacentral:rRNA from 1 species